GAUAUCCCGGAAGUUCUGAAAGCCAGUAUUCCUAACUUAAUUACAAUGAAUAUCAAAAUUUAUCAACAUAAUUUUGAAAAUGAGGAUCCAUAGAAGUUAUAAAAAAUAGAUUUUUAAGGUAAUCUGUACUGACCUUCCUGAUGAAUAAAUUUUUGUGUGUGUGUGUAUGUCUAUAAUUUAUAUACGUGUAAACACGUGGCUACCCCUAUGUAUUGAAGCAUUUAUUUUUGCUUUUUAUUAAAAUUAUUUGGAGAAAGAAAAUAAUGGGUUUUGAGAGGAGUCACUUUAGAACAAUGUUAUAAGUACAGAAACUUCUGAAGGGCUGAAAUAAGACCAGUUCCAUUUCCUUCAGUCGGUA
rnacentral:lncRNA from 1 species